AGGGAAUACUGGACAAUGGGGGCAACCCUGAUCCAGCCAUGCCGCGUGAGUGAAGAAGGCCCUCGGGUUGUAAAGCUCUUUUGUCCGGAAAGAAAAGCUUCGGGUUAAUACCCCGGGGUUCUGACGGUACCGGAAGAAUACGCACCGGCUAACUUCGUGCCAGCAGCCGCGGUAAUACGAAGGGUGCAAGCGUUACUCGGAAUUACUGGGCGUAAAGCGUGCGUAGGUGGUCGUUUAAGUCUGAUGUGAAAGCCCUGGGCUCAACCGGGGGAUGGCAUUGGNAACUGGGCAGAGAGAGUGCGGUAGAGGGUAGUGAAAUUCCCGGUGUAGCAGUGAAAUGCGUAGAGAUCGGGAGGAACAUCUGUGGCGAAGGCGACUGCCUGGACCAGCACUGACACUGAGGCACGAAAGCGUGGGGAGCAAACA
rnacentral:rRNA from 1 species